rnacentral:rRNA from 1 species
UACGUAGGGGGCAAGCGUUGUCCGGAAUUAUUGGGCGUAAAGCGCGUGUAGGCGGUCCGGUAAGUCGGUUGUGAAAGUCCAGGGCUCAACCCUGGGAUGCCGAUCGAUACUGCCGGACUAGAGUCCGGGAGAGGCGAGUGGAAUUCCCGGUGUAGCGGUGAAAUGCGCAGAUAUCGGGAGGAACACCAAUGGCGAAGGCAGCUCGCUGGGACGUUACUGACGCUGAGACGCGAAAGCGUGGGGAGCAAACAGG